rnacentral:rRNA from 1 species
CCGGCGAUUUCCGAAUGGGGAAACCCAGUGUGUUUCGACACACUAUCAUUAACUGAAUCCAUAGGUUAAUGAGGCGAACCGGGGGAACUGAAACAUCUAAGUACCCCGAGGAAAAGAAAUCAACCGAGAUUCCCCCAGUAGCGGCGAGCGAACGGGGAGGAGCCCAGAGCCUGAAUCAGUGUGUGUGUUAGUGGAAGCGUCUGGAAAGGCGCGCGAUACAGGGUGACAGCCCCGUACACAAAAAUGCACAUACUGUGAGCUCGAUGAGUAGGGCGGGACACGUGGUAUCCUGUCUGAAUAUGGGGGGACCAUCCUCCAAGGCUAAAUACUCCUGACUGACCGAUAGUGAACCAGUACCGUGAGGGAAAGGCGAAAAGAACCCCGGCGAGGGGAGUGAAAAAGAACCUGAAACCGUGUACGUACAAGCAGUGGGAGCCUCUUUUAUGGGGUGACUGCGUACCUUUUGUAUAAUGGGUCAGCGACUUAUAUUCUGUAGCAAGGUUAACCGAAUAGGGGAGCCGAAGGGAAACCGAGUCUUAACUGGGCGUUAAGUUGCAGGGUAUAGACCCGAAACCCGGUGAUCUAGCCAUGGGCAGGUUGAAGGUUGGGUAACACUAACUGGAGGACCGAACCGACUAAUGUUGAAAAAUUAGCGGAUGACUUGUGGCUGGGGGUGAAAGGCCAAUCAAACCGGGAGAUAGCUGGUUCUCCCCGAAAGCUAUUUAGGUAGCGCCUCGUGAAUUCAUCUCCGGGGGUAGAGCACUGUUUCGGCAAGGGGGUCAUCCCGACUUACCAACCCGAUGCAAACUGCGAAUACCGGAGAAUGUUAUCACGGGAGACACACGGCGGGUGCUAACGUCCGUCGUGAAGAGGGAAACAACCCAGACCGCCAGCUAAGGUCCCAAAGUCAUGGUUAAGUGGGAAACGAUGUGGGAAGGCCCAGACAGCCAGGAUGUUGGCUUAGAAGCAGCCAUCAUUUAAAGAAAGCGUAAUAGCUCACUGGUCGAGUCGGCCUGCGCGGAAGAUGUAACGGGGCUAAACCAUGCACCGAAGCUGCGGCAGCGACGCUUAUGCGUUGUUGGGUA